rnacentral:piRNA from 1 species
UCCUGUAAUUGUUCAGGGUUUGUGUGAUGU